GACGAACGCUGGCGGCGUGCUUAACACAUGCAAGUCGAACGGAAAGGCCCUGCUUGUUUGUGGUUCUCGAGUGGCGAACGGGUGAGUAACAUGUGAGUAACCUUCCCAUGACGUUGUGAUAACUGCAGGAAACUGCUGCUAAUACCUGAUAGGUGCUCCUGCUGCAUGGUGGGGGUUGGAAAGUUUCGGCUGUUGUGGAUGGACUCCCGGCUUAUUAGCUGGUUGGGUGGGUAGUGGCUUACCAAGGCUUAGAAGGGUAGGCGGCCUGAGAGGGUGAACGGCCACAAUGGGACUGAGAUACGCACCAGUCUCGUAUGGGAGGCAGCAGUCGGGAAUCUUGCACAGUGAGCGGGCGCCUGAGGAAGAAGCGCCCCGUGCGGGAAGACGGCUUUCGUGGUGUAAACCGCUUUCGCUUGUGACGAAGCGUGAGUGACGGUAAUGGGUGAAGAAGCACCGGCUAACUACGU
rnacentral:rRNA from 1 species